AGUGACAGAAAAUUUCAUGAAUAACAGAAAACAUCUUUAAAUCUGAAUACAAAUUAAAAAUAUAUUUGAAUAAUUAUGUUCAGUGUGAUAUAAAUUUUCUAGAGUACAAGUAAUUUUUGGUUGAGCUAAAAAAUGGAAUAAAGACAUCUCAGGAAAAAAAGGACUUGAAUUAAAUACUAAAACAAUGUUAAUCCUUUGGGCACCAAUUCUUCUCAACUUAGUUACAGGUGUUCAAAUCGUGAAGGAUGGGUGUUUGUUGCGGAGCUGCUCCUGGAGGAGAUCUUGCAUUGCUGAGUCGCAGUUCAAUGCAGUUGGUCCAGUAGCAGAAAGAUUUGAGCUUUUAAAAAGGAGCUAUGCUGUCAUCGUAUCUUAUACACCACGCUGAAAUUCCCCCUUAUAGGUCCAAAAGAAGGAAGUCCUUUUAUAAAAAGGAUAUGGUGUCAUCGUAUUUCUAACACUACGCAGAAAUCACCUCAUAUAGUUCCAUUCCAAUUUUCCAAAUAUCUGAAGAGACUAGGAAGGAUGUGGAAGAAGAAAAGUGGCCCCAGCAUAUAUCUUUUUUUUAUACAAUUUUUUUUCAUUUUUUAUUAUUUUUUUAUAAUAUUUUUUUUGAGCUCCCGGCCUCACGCAGAAGUGCGAGCAAGAAAGAGGGAUCUUCGGGAGCUGGCCCAGAAGCGGUCGAGAGUGGCAAUGACGUUAUUGUCCCGACGAGGGAUGAUCCGCCGAUCGGUGAGUCGUUUUUUAUUUAACCCCUUCUC